rnacentral:lncRNA from 1 species
AGAAUUUCACUGUUAAAAAGAUUAAAAUCUUAAUUUGAAAUGAGUUUAUUUUAAAUAAACUGCAUUAAGAGAACCAGAAAUUCCUUAGGAAGAUAAAAGUUUAUAAAACUUUUUUUAUUGACAGGAAGUGAGAGAGAGGGAACAUUGAACUGUUUCCAUUUCUCUAGAUUAUAAGCAAUUUUGGGAAAGGAUUUGACGGUAUCAUAUUUACUUCUGUGGCCCAAUUAAUGAGGAAGUUCAACACUAAUGGAAACUCAUUUAGUGAAAUGAACACAUGCCUCAGCAAUAUUUCAAGAACGCCCCAUCUGGCAUGGACCAGGAGGGUUUGACUUGUGCUGGAGCUGACAGAUCUUUUCAAGGCAACCAAGUCAAGCAAGAUUGGCUGAGAUCUAGAGAAGCCCAGCCAGAUGGCAGUUGAAGAGACAGUGGGAGAUAAAUGCUGUCAAGUUUGAAUCAGAGUAAGCUGGUUCCUGCAUAAUGUCAGAGGAAGUUCAUUGCAUAGGAGAACCCUAUGUACAGAAGUCCUCCUUUAUCCAUGAUUACACUUUCUGUUAUUUCAGUUAUCUGAGGUCAAUGGGAGUCCAAAAAUAUUAAAUGAGAAAUUCCAGAAGUAAACAAUUUAGAAGUUUGAAAUUGUGUGCCCUUCUGAGUAGUGUAAUGAAAUCUCGUGCUGUGUAGCUCUGUCCCACCCAGGAUGCGAAUCAUUC